AAUUUGAUCUAAUCGAAACAGAGUUCCCUUAGACUGAACGUUUACAAAAUAUUUAGUUGCAAAAAUUCUCAAUUUCAGAUAUAGUUUACAAAUAUGGGUAAUCCGGUUUAUUUCGUCUUUUGGCUGCUUAUAUUUUUGUUGUUCUCAUUCUUUGUGGCAUAUUUUUGCUCAUUUUUCUAUGUGUGGACCUAUCUUUUCUCUCAGUGCAUUGAUCCCUGUGGAAAUAUCUCGGAUUUCCUUUUGAAGUGCGUUCAGUUCCCCGGCUACUGUUUUACUGCCAUGAUCGAAUGCAAGAAACCCUGCUGAACAUGGCCACAGAAGAGUAAUUCAUUAUAUUUUAAAAUUUUUUAAUUCGCUGCAGUGUACAUCGUAAUGAAAAGAGAAAUUUAUUGCAUUUCUUCUCUUUAUUAAAAUAAAAUGUCAUCGUUUGGUAUAAGGAAUACACUAAGCUAGAGAGCAUCCAAAUUUGCGCUGGCACAUUCCUUAUAUCAAAUGUUGACUUAUUUUAUUUUCUAAA